GCACUCAUUUCAGCAGCACGUAUACUAAUAUUGGAACAAUAUAGAAAAGACUAGCAUGGCCCCUGUGCAGUGUUGACAUACAAGUUCAUGAAGCAUUUCACAUAUUU
rnacentral:snRNA from 1 species